UCAAAUUACAAGUCUUGAUUCCAUUCAUACUUAAGUCAUAUUCAUUACAAGCCAUGUUCAAGUUAGUUCAUUUCAAUCUAAUUUCAAACAUGCUCAUACAAUGAUUCUUGAUAUUCAAAUUCCAUACAAGUUCAAAAACUAAUUCAUUUUCAUUCAAAUGGCCAAUUCCAUCAUACAUUGUUCAUUAUAAAAAAAUGCCAAAAAUUAUAUGUUGACCAAAUGUUGACUUUAGUCAACAAUUGACUUUUUGGUCAACUUUGACCAAAGUCAACCCAACUUUUUUUCCAUCCUAAAACCCUAAACUCCUUUCCAAAUCUUCAAAGUAUCCAUCUUGAUCUUUGGUUGGCCAUUUGUACAUUGAGGCUUCAAAUUCAAACUUGACCAUUUGUGUUCAACCACCAUUGUCCACUACAUGAAACCACGACCUACAAAACAAGGAAAGGCAUGAGAUACAACCACAAAGUCAGAAUACAUAUGCUGCAAACAUAGGCCAUGUUAGUCCAAGAUAGAAUUGCAUAAGUAAAGACCAAGGCAUUAAACCAUGAAGCAAAAGCCAAAGAAUGCAUACAUGGCCAUGCUACCUAAACCAAAGUUAGAAUGAACAUGGACAAGAACCUGCUACAAAUCAUCAACAUGAAUUGAAUACACAUGGAGUACACAAUGAACUCUACAAAACCAGGGCAUGAUGAAUGAAGUUAGAAUGAAGGCAAUGACAAUACUACUGCACAUAUGCUGCAGAACACAACAUGAAGCAACACAUACAUGUACACCUGCAGAAAUCACAAGCUACAAUGCAAACCUAAAACAUUCCAUGAAGCAAUACACCCUGCUACAUCAGAAACCAUUCACCAUAUUGCAGACCUGCUGCAGAACCAUGUGACCAAACCAAGACUUGCACUCCAUAAACAUGCCAAAAUGAAUCACAAGUUGGAAUGAAUACAGUAAAACCAGGUGUAGCAUGAGCAAUGCUACAUGAAACCAAGCCCGAAAUUACAAGCUACUGUCAAGGUUUACAACAACAUGAGCAAAGAAAUGGACAAAGUCAGAAUCGAAAUGAAUAUACCACCUUUUACAUGAAACCAAGCCCGAAAUUACAAGCUACCGUCAAGGUUUACAACAUGAGCCAAGUCAGAAGCUUGUUUGAACCUAGCCAAAGUAUGACACGGGUUAGAAGCCAUUCUGCAAUACAAUGCCAUGACCACUACAGAAAAAUCCCAGGACCAACUUGUUUUUCACGUGAGCAAUUUAAAUCAGAGCAAUUUCUAGCUAAGCAAAAUCUAACAAACUUAGAUCCAAUUUCCUAAUCUAUCCUCUCCUAAAUCACUCUAUAAAACCAUCAUCAUUCAAUCAUUUGAUCCCCUCUGAGAAUCAUUCCCUCUGACACCACAUCAGAACCUACCACAUCAGAACCUUCAUCACUCUCUCACGCAUUCUCAACCCUCACUGCCUCAAUUCGCAUAGAAGAAGAAGAAAGGGAAACAUAAGAAGCAAUUUUACAAGAAAAAGAAUGAGAAAGAAGAUUGAAACAUACCUGUGGAUUCCGGUGCCGUCUCCGCCGUAUACGUCAUCUUCUAUGGUAGGUAGGUGUUCUAUUCAGCUUCGUUUGGCUUCGAGGACGAUACCAGGAUGUAGUUCGUGGUUCCUGGAAUCAAAGCCCUCUCAUGAGAGGCUUUGAUUCAUCGUUAUAUUCAUUUAAUUUCUGGUUUUGUAGAUUAGGUUUCAUGCAUUUUCUGUUUCGAUUUGAUUGAUAGAUUUGGAAUUAGGUUCAAUGGUUGAUGGAUUUUGAGUGUAGAGUUAGAGGUGGUUCGGAUGGUGGAUUUAAUUUCAUGUUUGGCAAUGUCGGUGUGGCGGAGGAGAAGAGGUCUGGUUGUGGUUUUGUCAUAUAUGAAUAUUGUUGAUUUUUAUCAUUCUAUCAUUUCAUUACAUUGAUUUAAUUUUUUGCAAUUAGUUUUAGCAUUAUGAUUUUUAUCAUUCUAUCAUUUCAUUACAUUGAUUUAAUUUUUUGCAAUUAGUUUUAGCAUUUUAAUUAUGAAUAAUUG
rnacentral:lncRNA from 1 species